rnacentral:rRNA from 1 species
UACGUAGGGGGCAAGCGUUGUCCGGAUUUAUUGGGCGUAAAGAGCGUGUAGGCGGCUAGAUAGGUCCGUUGUGAAAACUCGAGGCUCAACCUCGAGACGUCGAUGGAAACCAUCUGGCUAGAGUCCGGAAGAGGAGAGUGGAAUUCCUGGUGUAGCGGUGAAAUGCGUAGAGAUCGGGAGGAACAUCAGUGGCGAAGGCGGCCAUCUGGGACAACACUGACGCUGAAGCACGAAAGCGUGGGGAGCAAACAGG